UACGUAGGGGGCAAGCGUUGUCCGGAAUCAUUGGGCGUAAAGAGCGUGUAGGCGGCCCGGUAAGUCCGCUGUGAAAGUCCAGGGCUCAACCCUGGGAUGCCGGUGGAUACUGUCGGGCUCGAGUCCGGAAGAGGAGUGUGGAAUUCCUGGUGUAGCGGUGAAAUGCGUAGAUAUCAAGAGGAACACCUGAGGUGAAGACGGGUUGCUGGGCCAACACUGACGCUGAGGCGCGAAAGCCAGGGGAGCAAACGGG
rnacentral:rRNA from 1 species